rnacentral:tRNA from 1 species
GAAAUAUGUUGCUCAAGAGAAAGCUGCUAACUUUUUUCUUUAAUGGUUUAACUCCAUUUAUAUUUCU